rnacentral:lncRNA from 1 species
GAGCGGGUCGCGGUGAAGGGGACGGUGAGUCGCUGUGGAGGGACCCGGGCCUCCGGCGGCAGCUGCGGCGACUGCGGUCGGAGUCCGGCCGGGCCCCGGGUCCUGCGCGGCGCUUUGCCGGCCGGAGCGGUCUGUGGGCAGCGCGGCCGCCCAGCCCCGCGUCUCCCCCUCUGCGGUGGCGGCGGGAGGGUCGCGGGGAGACUCCCGCCGCGGGCGAGGCGGGGCCUGGGAGGGAGGUGUGCGCGUCCCAGCCCCCCUGCUCCUCGGGGUCCCCUGGUUACUCCGAAGUCUGCAAAACUGGGGAAGCCGGUUCUCAAGCCCACGCUCUGUCCCCGUCGUGCCAAGUUUCUUGAAGUGAUGUCCACACACACAGGUGUUUCCCCGCAGCGCCACGCGGAUCGGAGGGGAGAUCCACAGGUACGUGUGGAGGAGAAGGAGAAAGGUCUUGUCCUCUCUGAAAUUAUUGUCGUCCUUGGGCUGUUUGUAGGUAUUGUUCUAAAGCCAAAUGCUGAUUAAGGUGGGACAUGACUUGAUUUAAAAGGAGUAGAGCAGGAGGAGGAAAUCCUCAACUGUAAGGUCUGCACGCAUUCAAGAGAUAGAAAAGUGGGUUUUCCUUAUAGAGAGGAACAAACAGGAUUAGAAAUGUCAGGGGCAGAGAGAUGUGAGCGGUGGGACCAUGAGAUAAGGGAAUCAUUUUAUAAAAUGGGCCCACUGUGCAGACCCCCCACAUGCUUUCACUUUAGAAAGCAAUUUACCUGCAGCCAAGUCUGGCUUAAGUUGACAGGAUGUGUUACUUUCCUCAAGGAAGUACCUGUUAUCUGCAGGGGAAAUGCUCAUAAGAGGAACACAAGUUACCCUGAAGGGGGUGACUUUUGUGACCCUCACAUCAAUCAGGUCCUGCAACUCUGAGAAAAUUCGGAUAAUUUUCUCUACCCAUAAAAUCUGUAAGAACCUGUUCCAAUUAGAACCAGUCAGCAUGGGCCAAAGUGACUUAGAGUUGUCAUGGAAGUGGGGACUUGAAAGUCUUAUGUCAUCCUGCUGUCAGUCAAAACUCAAGAGGUGGGGCUGGAAUUGUGGCUCAGUGGCAGAGCACUUGCCUUAUUUGUAUGAGGCACUGAGUUCAAUCCUCAGAACCACAUAAAAAUAAAUAAAUAAAGGUACUGUGUCCAUCUACAAAUUAUAUGAAUAUAAGGAAGAUGGGAAAGCCUUGUAUGAUCCCCAGCGUUUCCAGAAGCAUGAAAGAACUCACACAGCAGAGAAACCCCAUGUGUGUAAGCACUGUGGAAAAGCCUUCAGUUCUUCCAGCUACAUUAAAAUCCAUGAACGAAUUCACAAUGGAGAGAAACCUUAUGAAUGCAAACAAUGUGGGAAAUCCUUUACAUUUCUCAGUUCUCUUCAUGAACAAAUUCACAGUGGAAAGAAGCUCUACAUAUGUAAGCAAUGUGGA